rnacentral:rRNA from 1 species
UACGUAGGGUGCGAGCGUUAAUCGGAAUUACUGGGCGUAAAGCGUGCGCAGGCGGCUUCGCAAGUCAGGCGUGAAAUCCCCGGGCUUAACCUGGGAAUGGCGUCUGAAACUACGGAGCUGGAGUGUGGCAGAGGGAGGUAGAAUUCCACGUGUAGCGGUGAAAUGCGUAGAUAUGUGGAGGAACACCGGUGGCGAAGGCGGCAUCCUGGACCAAUUCUGACGCUGAGGAGCGAAAGCCAGGGGAGCAAACGGG